AGCAGUCGCCACGGUAAUACGAAGGGUGCAAGCGUUACUCGGAAUUACUGGGCGUAAAGCGUGCGUAGGUGGUGGUUUAAGUCCGUUGUGAAAGCCCUGGGCUCAACCUGGGAAUUGCAGUGGAUACUGGGUCACUAGAGUGUGGUAGAGGAUAGUGGAAUUUCCGGUGUAGCAGUGAAAUGCGUAGAGAUCGGAAGGAACAUCUGUGGCGAAGGCGACUAUCUGGGCCAACACUGACACUGAGGCACGAAAGCGUGGGGAGCAAACAGGAUUAGAUACCCCUGUAGUCCCUGUCUCUUAUAC
rnacentral:rRNA from 1 species